CAUGAAUCUGAAGUUCCAGGAAUGCCUAAAGUCAAGGAACGAUCCUUUCAAUUAGCCGACUGAGCCCUUCUCCAAGGUAUGACAAAUUUACCUCCAUCUCCUCCCAGGACGACUGCUGAGAAAUGGCAAUUUCCUGCGACUGUGACUGAGUCCACACACAUGUGCUUCUGAGUCCGACUUCUCGACAUGUCCUGGAGUCUGGACCUCUCGUCCUGUUUUCCGUCUGCCUCCUGGCCGCAAAAUUGGUAAUUUUCUAGUACAUUUAUUUCCACAUGUCAGGCCAGUCAAGUUGGUAACUCCAGACCGCAUCUUCAUGUUGAUGGACAUGUGAGUGGGCCUCCAUGAGAUGGGACAGUGGUAGGCUUACGAACCGGAUGCCGGAAUUGUUGCAGGCUUUUAAGAUUGGCAGAUUGGGUCAGCCCUGGUUGAGUGUCCUCUCGAGUUCGAGCUCGAACCAUGUGAAAAUGGGUUUCUAAAUAUGCCUUCGGUCUGGCCUAAUGCCCUGGCAUUAAUUCUCGAGGAGCGGAGAACUUCAUUAUUGAUUGGCUGGCAAAAGGGGUUUUUGUUUUGAGGUGGGGGACUCUGACUCAUCUACUUAGCUAUACAGGCACAAAUAUUUGUUGGACCAAGCUUUUAAUUCGCUU
rnacentral:lncRNA from 1 species